rnacentral:rRNA from 1 species
GGGCCCGCACAAGCAGUGGAGUAUGUGGUUUAAUUCGAAGCAACGCGAAGAACCUUACCAGGGCUUGACAUACAGAUGAAUACUCUAGAGAUAGGGUAGUCUUUCGGGACAUCUGUACAGGUGGUGCAUGGUUGUCGUCAGCUCGUGUCGUGAGAUGUUGGGUUAAGUCCCGCAACGAGCGCAACCCCUGUUGUUAGUUGCCAGCAAGUAAAGUUGGGCACUCUAGCAAGACUGCCGGUGACAAAUCGGAGGAAGGUGGGGACGACGUCAAAUCAUCAUGCCCCUUAUGUCCUGGGCUACACACGUACUACAAUGGCUAUUACAGUGGGAAGCGAAGCCGUAAGGCGGAGCAAAACCUCAAAAAUAGUCCCAGUUCAGAUUGUGGGCUGAAACCCGCCCACAUGAAGUCGGAAUUGCUAGUAAUGGCAGGUCAGCAUACUGCCGUGAAUACGUUCCCGGGCCUU